rnacentral:lncRNA from 1 species
CAUACUAGCGGCUUAUCGGGAUGGUUCCAACAAAUAAACCGAAACGCUAUCACCGGAGGAGAAGAAGAAGGAAAGAGAAGAAAAGAGAGAGCGAGUGGGGGAGGGAGAGGGAGAGGUAGGGAGGCUGGCGGAGGGCCGGUAUAAUUUUGUGAUAUUUAAGUGAAGCCGGCAAACAAUUUGCCGACUUCACUUAAAAAUCGCAAUUUUUUUUAAAACAGAAGUUUGGCCGUGGCCUUUGCCAACCGCACCCUCCGCCGGCCUCUGCCACCCUCCGCCGGCCUUCUUCCCUCACCCACUCGCUCUCUCUUUUUUCCUCUGUCCCACGUCCCACGGUCUUCUAUGUCGAUACAGGCCUGGUACGGCACUACACGGGCCCGUACCGACUCGUGCCUCUGGACAACCGGUACGGUGCCCGAUACCGGCACAGCAGACCCUGGUACCAACAGUCAUUGAGUCAACAAUAUAUCAAGAAACUAAUAUUUAUAAGUGAAAAUAAAGUAUAGCUUUAAACAAAAAUGAUUCACUUUAUAAAAUCAACUUGAGUAUCCAUGGCUCUCAUAGACAGUUGGGUCUUGUUUAUAGUUCCGACCUUGAAUAUUAUAUUGGCCUGAAUACUAUCCCCAUCCCUGCUAGUCAUAUGAUAUCUAAGAUUGACCUAGCUAUGGUUCCUGAUACUAUGGCUUCAUGUACAUCUGGUAGUCGCAAGAGCCUAGCCAUCCUUGCUCAAGGUAGUAAGAGGCAGCAGUGUACUCUCACCCCUCAUUAUACCCAUAUCGGGAGGUGUAAUAUGCAAAGUCAAAUCCCUUAGGAUAUGAUGAGAGGAAGAAUAAGUAAGGAAUGUACAUGGAUGGAUCAUACUUUCCACUCUGACUAUCUGAUGCACUAAAAGAUCUGUCUUUGGUAUGUGAUGAGAUCCGCAGUCCACUGUAGCUAUCUGAUGCAUUGGCAAAUCUUUCAUUAUUAUCCACUCCUUUCAUUCGAUGUAAUAGCUCUUGAGUAUCCUGGUACAUCUCCGUAUAUACUUUCAUCUCUUGUCCAUUUUUUUCAUCAACUCAGCUUCUAAUAUGCUAGGUGCACAUAUAAUUCUCAUCCUUGAUAUAGCUUCUUGCAAUUGACUCUCCAAUCUCCCAAUACCGACCCCCAUAAUUGAUCUUCUGUGCCCUAAGCUAUAUCACCCUAAGCUAUAUAAUUGAUCUUCUGUGCCCUAAGCUGCAUCACCCUUGGAUCCUCUUCUCCUAUACGAUAAUGUCUCUCAGUCAUGUCAGAAUUUUGUUGAAGCCUCAUGGUCUUGAUCCAGCAUGGCAUGUGCACUCUACCUUGCUGUUGAAUGGACUAAGCCGAUGAAAUAACCACUAUCACCUCCAAACCAACCACCCUGUCCACCUUAACCUCCAUAGUACCCAUCAUUAGAAUUUCAUUAUCAUUGCCAUUAGCAUUGCUAGAUGAUCUAGGCAAGAUAGGAUCUGAUGGGCCCGGUGUCUUGGUUUCAUCUUCCUAGACCGAUAUGUCAUCAACUACCUUAACUGGGUUGAUAACUAUAGCUCUCUGCCCUUGGACUUGCCUUUCCUACUGCACUGACCUGCUAUGGCUGGAUGACUAGACCCUAUGCCUUGAUUGGCUCUGAAGGCCCAUGCACUAUGCCUCAAACCCAAACAUCUAGUGAUCGAGCCGCUGAUUAGAAUCCAUUGAUUGAGCUGCUGGUGGGUGAGAUAUUCUCCUCCGCCAUCUUGUCCACAUUGUGCAGACCUAGCUCCUUUGCGAUGGUUCAUUCUAUUCAGGCUCUAAUGAGCUUGUUCAUCUAUAACCAACCAAAGCAUAGAGUCCUCAUCAUGGACAAAGUCAUUCGCGAUGUAGCACAAGGUGAAGCCAACAGGUGCUAUGACCAACUAGACUAAGUAUCGAAAGAGCUAGCGAAUCCGUAGGCAAAAACUGCAAUAAUCAAAUAAUUGAUUUAUUUCCAUCAGGGAUAGUACCAAAUUUUAGCCAGAUUUUCAUAUUUGUAAUAGAAUAAUUCUAGUAUAUUUUUUAUUGUCGAGUCCUAUUUUGACCAUAAUUCUGUAUUGGGUUUAAUGCCUAAAUUAGAGUGAGGGUAUCAUGUCCUAUAAAUAUGUGCAUAAUACAUUGUAAGGGGCAACAUUUGAGAUAUCAAUAAAAUUCUUUUUGAAAGAAUUUCUUUCACCGAGUAAAAAUUCUUCAAUCCAAUUUUCUUCUAUUUGCAUGUCGAUCUUCAAAGCAUAACCUCGACGAUCAAAUCACCCCUUCUUCCUUUUUCUGUUGCGUCAAUUUGUCCAUGGAACUUCUUGGCUGUUCUCCAUGCCCCUCAUUCAAGUACUCCAAUUCAAGGUACGUGGAACCGACCAAACCAACGUACCGGUGGAGGCCGGUACCGGUUGAAAUUGGUAUCGAACUGGCCAACCGAAAAAAAAAAUUCGUAGCACGCGUGUCCGCGUUUUAGCCAAUGAGUGGCAUUAAAUGCCCAUGCGGGGCCGUGUGGGCUCGCGCCCGCGCGCGGUGCCGCGUGGGCUCGCUGCCCUACAUGGGGAACUACGUGCGAGAGCGGGAAAGCCAGCGCGCGGUUCCUUGUGCAUGGAACGCGCGGGCACGAGCGAUUCCCCGCUCACGCGGGCUGCCCCGCGCGCGGAGCCCUUUUUUUCUUUUCUUUCUUUUUUUUCUUUCCUUCUUUUUCCUUCUCAAACUCUCUUCCUUUCCUUUCUUCCCCUCUCUCCUCCUCUCUUAUCCUCUCUUUUCCCCUUCUCCCGGGAGCAAAGAAGGGGUCAGAACCGCGAGCGAGACGGGUGAUCCUCAUCGGCUCGAGGGAGGAGGUCGGAACCAAACAGCUCCUUGCCCAUACCGGUGCUGGCCGGUACCGGUACGGUACAGGCUAAACCGAUCGAUUCCGACCGGUUCAGCAAACCCUGCUCCAAUCUCAACCUCAUAUUACAGUGUGCCAAAACCAAGUUGUGCAGCCUUUUGUUAGUUAGGAGGCUUCACAUCUUGCUACAGAAUAAGGCCAAAGUACUCCAGUUUUGCUUGCAUUGGCUGGAUGACAACUUGCAAGAGGAAUCGAAUGACAGUCUACCUUAAAAUGGGCGCAUCGCUGUCCCAUUAGAUUCAUCUCUCGUAUAACUAGAUAAUUCAGCAUCAGAUAAGACCAUGGUAUGCUGAACGGACCGGUUCUGGUCGGUUCAACCCGUACCAGACUGAAACCAACAUGCACCGGUUCGGUACAGCCCUUGAAAUCAGUUCCAACCCCAUCUGGGUCGGAGCCGAUCGGUUCCAUACUCGUAUCAGUGCAAACCGGCUCGGUUCCCACCGGUACAUACCCGUACUGGUACGGUACUGGCUUGGUUCGGUACGUUACUGAUACCAUAUCGACGUACUAGUGGGCGUCGGUACCAGUUCGAAUCGGUGCCAAACCGGUACCACUGGUUCGGCUUGGUUCACGCAUCCAAAAGCUCCCAAAAAAAAUUUGGAACCAGAAUGGGCCGGUACAGGUCGGUGUGGGUCGGUACCGACCGGUACGGGCCGGUAGGGGCUGGUACCGAUUUUUAACACCGAACCAGACCGGUCAGAGCCGGUACCGGUUUGGUACUGACUGAACCAGCCGGUACGGGCCGGUUCAACAUUGCUUGAUAUAAGCUAAUACCGACCCUUUUCAAUUGGAUGCAUGUUUGCUGCAUUAUAUCAGCAAAAACAAACUCCAUAGUGGUCAGCACCAAGCAUAUCAUCUUGUUCUGCUUGGAGGCCCCAAUUUCCUCUUUGUCAGCAUCUAGGAGGCACCUCAGUCCUAUUGUCACGCAUACGUUGUUUUGAUUGCCACAGCAAACUAAUAAGCUUCUCAUGUGUAUUAUUCAUAUAGUGGUAAUGAAUGUUCAACAGUUAGUAAUUUCUAAGUUUGAGCACAAUGAGAAGGGCCAUAUGCCAAUCUUCAACAUAAUUAGUUAGAGGUGGAAGGAACAUGUAAGUCACCCUUGCCAUCUAAUGUAUCCUUCACACUCUUAUUUAUAGUGUUGAAUGUAAGAAAUCUGAGAGGAAAUUAAGCAAGGUGUCACAUGCAUUUUAUAGCAUGUCCAGAGAAAGUGGUGCCUUGUGAAGCAUAACUAGAUAAAAUGAUGAAUCAAUGUUAUUCUACAUGCACAUUGGAAAAAAUGUAGGAUGGGUGUUGCUGAUUGUUAAAAGUACAGCAAAGAUACCAGGUAGGUUACUCGAGUUUUGCAAGAUUGUUUAUAUGGUUAAUUAGAUGUAUUAUUGUCAUCAUUAUAUCAAAUUUUUGCGGUCAAAUAGUGGGGAUUUGUAUGAUGCUGAAGAGCAUUGUGUAGCUUUGAACUCACAUGUAGAAAAUGAGAAGGUGCUUGCAUUGGAGUAUAUUUGAAUUUUGAACACAUAAAUAGUAUUAGCAGAAAAUAUUUGUCUGUAGAUCCAUAUGAAGAAAAGAUUUAAUCAGAAAAUUCAUACGCAAUUCAAGGCAAGAAGUGAAGCUUGAAGCUCAGGCCGAGAUGAGUCAAUAUUGUAAUAUUGAAUGACUGGCCAAUUCAGUGACCUAUUUUGAAUGAGGAAGAUAAUGAUUUUGGGGCAAUGCAUCUAAGGUGGCAAUAGGUCGGUUGGGUCAACUUUGGAUAAAUCAACUUAAAAAUUACCAUCUGGAAGCUUAAACUUUACCCAACCAUGAGUUGGGAUUGCUUAACCCAAACCAGCCAUAAGUUGACUAUCAAAAGUCAACACACAAUCCAACAUGAUUAACCCAGCCUGACCCAUCCCGAUCCGAUCCAAUGAUGAUUUUGACAAUCAUAUACUACAGCUAUAAACAUGACAUACAAAAAUCAUAAAACUUAUGCACUGUAGCUAUAUUCCACAGAAGAUCAAAUGAUGUCUAACGGAAGCACUAUAUCAAAUAAAAGUAUGAUUAGCAAUUUAGCAUACUCAGAUCAGGAUUAUUACCUCUAGAAAAUUAUCUUCACGGAGGUACUUGCAUGUCACUGCUUUCCCCAAUAGGCAAGCUUUGGUUCCGACUGCUCGCUUGACCAUCCAAUAGCCCUAUGUUUCAAUCAAGGUACAACAAUUGAAGCCUCCAUACCAAUAACAGGAUGUAAAACAACAGCAUGCUUUCUGUUUAACAAUGCAGACCUCUACAAUACUUGGUAUUAGUUUGAAUCUUGCAUCCCGAAACAUGUCAGUUCCAUCUAUAAAUCUACCCAACAAAGAUUGCUUAUUCACAGGCCUCUCUGCAGCAUAAUAAAGAAUCAAGCUGUAAUUUGGUUUUGCGGGAAUCUGCAAUUUAACAGAAUAAUCCUUAUUAGAGGAAAAGAACAACAGAAAUUUGGAAAACAACAUUAAAAAAAACUAAUUUCAUUGAUGGAAAAGUAAUUAAUCAGUUAGCCUUAAGUUCAUCAAAUGUAAUAUUUAAUAUACUGUCAGGUUGACAUUCUCAACAAAUAGGCCAGCUGGAUUUUACAGGGUUAUUUUAGUUUCACAUCAAGAUUCCUUUAUAAAACUUUAAAUUGAGGAUUUUGGUUGCAGAUUCUUGCAGAAGCUUCUAUGGUUUAUUGGCUGCCAAAAGAGAUCUGGCAACCGAAAAAAAACUGUCAGUCUCAAGCUGUAGAUUCUCAUAUAGUUAGCUGAGUAGAUGGUUAUACAGAACUGUGUGAUGACCAAUACAGAUACUCUCAUCAUGGUAUAAAGUAGGCUUUCUUUUAAAAUUCUUCUAGUGUAACAAUCUAAGACUUCCAGAAGACAAAUAUAUGUAUCGAAUAGGACCAGGAAGCUAGGAUAAGGCUUAAUGGUCACCAUUAUCAUUUUAAAGAUAAUAAAUGAUAUAGAAGCUCGUGAUGAUAUAGCCAAAUUAUGGAAUUUGUAAUGUAAGAAAUGUCUAAUAGGAGUCGAAGAAAUACAAUGAUAGUUAAUACACUUACCUCUAAGUUUAUAAUGAGAACAAAUGGCAGCUUUUUUCCAGCUUCUGACUGACACAGAAUAAUGGAAAAGGAAAAUAUCAGAAUAGGUAUUUACAUUCCAAAUUCUGGUAAAUAUUAACAGAAUCCAUUAUAUAAAAAAGUAUUACAUGUAAUUGCAGUACUAUUGCCAGAACUCGUAUCUUUUUCAGAUGAUAGAUUUGUUGGAACUGAGAUGGGAGGAGUGGAAAUUCUUAUUAGCCACAUGGAGAUCUCCUUAUUCCUAUCUUCUUCCACUCAUCUAGUUAUGACAUAACAGGAUGGUUGUUGUUCUUGGUUGGGCUAGGGUGGAGUGGCAGGCAGGUCUAACCAGUACUAACAACUUGAUGUUAAGCAAGAAACUCCCAAACCACAUUUGAUUUUUGGAUUUUUUUUCCUUUUUGGCUACAGAGUUUUGGUUUUCUCAAUGUUUAAAUCAUGAUAAGAAAUACAGUCUCAAUUUCGAUAGCCAAUCAUGCUAUUUGCAUUGAUACUAUGUGUGAGCUAAUCAUGGAAUGUAAUAACACAUUCUGAUGUUCAUACUUUUAAAAAAAUGGCUGCUGGAAAUUUAAUUACCUGCCUAACUUGCAGUCUCAUGCAUUUGUGUUACCACAUUGUAAUUAUUAAGUGAUAUGAGCAGUAAGCUGAACAUGUGAAAACCAUUGUUUCGUUGUAGACAAGUGAGAUGUAAAACUCCUUUCUUCGAAAUGCAUCAUAACAAAAUUAUUUGAAUACUAUAAAGUUUUAAUAGAGAUUAAUUUUUACCUGAACAAGACAUCUGGGAUGCAAUGCAACUUUAUCAAUGCUAAAAUCAGCCUUGAACCAGUCAACUGCAAUAAGCUUCAGAAGAGGAUCUCCCCCCACAACCUAUUUUGCAUUGUUACAGUAUUAGUGAUUGCUACAGAAGUUAACAAUUAAAAUGCUUGUAUAUAUUAUGAAAAAAAAUGGUGCAUAUGUCAAAAUUUUAGCUCAUUGCAGAUGGCAUAUGCUUUAAUGAAAAUAUGUUAUCCAUGCAUUUAAUGAAUAAAAUCUCCAUUAAAUUAGAAUGUUUAAACAAAACUGAAGAAAGUCAGAAACACUGUAGGAGCAAGUUAGGAUAGUUAACAGAGCCUGCAACUAUACUUACAUAGUAGCAAUGAAUGCCAUUACUUUAUGAAUGCACAUGUCUGGAGAGAAACAUCUAGAAAAUGAAAAAUGCCUAAUCACUUUUUUUUUCCUUUCCACUCUACGGUGAUACUUCAAAAUACCAUCUUGCUAGGAAUGUGGGGAUAGCAUACUUGUUAUUACAUUUUUCUUUAUUUAAUUACACUUCGCAUAUUAAAAAAAUGUCAAACAACUAUAAACAUCUCUUAUAGAGCACCUAAGAACAUCUAUUCUGCAACUCAUGAAAGACAUGGUUCCAUAAAGUGUCGAAGUCCACCACCAUAAGAUCCAACUAGCAGAUUCCAAACAAUUCAUCUUGCCAUUUAUCUAUCUAUUUAAACACAAAAACCUAAAGAUCUUGUGCUAGAAUAAAAGAUGAAGUCAAGAUGGAAGGUGGUAGCCAUGGUUUUUAAAGUCAAACCACCAUAACAUUUUCUAGAACUAGCAACAUUAGCACAAGAUAGCAACCCCAGUGAGUAGAUGCCAAGAUACUGAUACAAUAGAAUGCCCUGUCCGGAACACAUACAAUUACAACAGACUAUGGAUGCAUCAUGUUUUGGAUUAAGAAAAAUACAUAAACAUAUGCUCAUAGAUUAUGGUUCCUCACAUGUGUAACAUGAAAAAAAUACAUAAGCAUAUAUUAUAUAUGCUUAAGUCUGUGAUCAUGCACUACAUCAUUAUCUCUAACAUGCAUGAUGCCAAAUUCUUGGGAAAACAGACCCAAGAAAGUAUAAUCAUGUUGGUGUUAAAUUUCAAGGUAGAUGGGUCCUCGUAAUAGUCCUUUCCUGUGUUUUGUUACAUAUAAUGUAAAUUAAGAAGCUGUUCCAUGGUUGCUAUGACUUCCAAUGUUGAAACUUUUGCAGGGGAAUGCUUACAAUGUUUAAGUCUCCAUAAUGUUUUUAUCAAGACAACAGAUCAACUCACAAAAACAAAAGUGAGGCAUAUCUGGACAGAACCAACCUAGUUGUAAGAUAUGCAUCAAGUUCAACACUCAAGGAUGGCAGUUUGUGCUAUUUGCAUUCAGAUAUUUUUCUCAAGGAAUCCAAUAUCAAGGAUUUGUUCUGCAGACAAAUAGUGUCCCUAAAGUCAGCUUUUCAUCAUUUUUAGGGAGUGAAUUCAAUAUUAGUUGUUACCUUCAAAAGAAAUAUGUUGCAUUGGUAUUUAGUAUCUACUGCAGCUGUUUCUGUAUGUAAGUAAACUAAGAUAAAAAUGAUGGUGAUCUAAAUAAAUCAUGUUGAAAGAAUGUAGAAUGAGAAUAUGCCGCCAACCUUAGAGUAAUCUUUCAAGUAGGUCUUCCCUCUUAUCAUAAACCCUUGACCAUUUGGAGUAGUCCAACAGUUGGUAUCAGUUUCACCUUUUCCUUGAUGCAAUGAACCAUGAAACUGACUUGGAUCAAUGGUGAUUGGAGGAAAGUUGGCAUUCAACUCAUUAUUCUCAACUAAAGCUGCAUCAAUGAAGAAUCUUUAUAAUUCAGUAUAACAUUGUUAAACAUUGACUCAUCAUUAUCAUGAAGAAAAUUAUAAUGUAGCAUAAAAAAUAAUGAUAAAACUAAAAUUUAUUUUCCAGCACGAUAAAUGAACAAGUAACAUUAAUAAUUGAUAUAAAAGGAAAGAAGUUUGGCUUAUUAUAAACAACAGUUUUUUGUUGAAUGUUGGGUCUAAUAUGGUUAAGCAUUAUAAAUAGAAAAAAUUAGUAAUGAUAUAGCCACUGUUUUAAGUACUGGUACCAGUACUGGCACACUACUGGUAUUGGGCAUAUUGAGUGCCAUUAAGGUAAUGCCAGUCUGGUAUCUAGUUUUCCGAAGCGUGCUGUAUCCAAAACUUGUUCCCUACUGGUGUGGUACAGUAUGACCAGUAUGGAACAGUAAGGUCGGGCCCUUAAAACCUUAAAUAGAGCUAAAAAGAUGCAUCUCAGGUAUAUAUCUAUAGCUUCAAGCCAGAGAUUACCUGUACUUCGCUUCAAAGCCAAGCUUGCAAUGGCCCAUGAAACAUUCCUUAGUCUGACUCUUCCAUCCUGACAAACAGUGUAUUCAGAAUUCCAUAUUUGUUUCAUGAUUAUUAUGGAUAAAUUUGAAAGAUAAAACUUGCAGUGACAUGUCAUCGACAAACAUUAAUUUUUCCUUUCUUUUAAAUAAUUGGCACUACCUUGGAGACUUCGACAUCAUCAUCACUAUCUUCAUCUUCCAACGAGUCAUCAUUUGCAAUUGCAUCAUAGAACUCAUCCUUAACUUCAGAUUCCUCAAAUGCAGCACCGUCACUUGAAAUGUCAGAGAUUUUUGAAUGCACAAUUGUGGAGGAAGAAUCAGAUAUGAAGGCAGGAUUUGCUCCAAAAUAUUCUCUUAAUCCUGAAUAGUCAAAGAGGUCAAUGGCUUCCUCUACAGAAGCAAAAGAAUACAGUUCAAUAGUUCAAAAUACAAACGUUUCCCAGAGACUAUAUCAGGCAUCUCCUUUUACACUCAGGAGACUCCCAUAAUUGAAGCAUGUCCACAUGCAAAAUACUUGCUCACACGUGGACACAUACAUGCAUGAAAAUAGACAUUCGUGUGUACAUAAUGAAAUGCAGGGUGAACGAACCUGCUACUUGGCAUAGUAAAGCAUAAGGAAUGGUUUUCUCAAAAUUGGAGCUGUGCUGUCUCUUCCAUCUAGCCCAGACACUUGAUCGGAUUUCCAACAUCUGAGUCACAAGGCAUUUUGCAGUUGGAGACUCUGAUGUGUUUAGUCUUCUAAUUUCCCAAAUAGAAGCUGCAAAAUGAGGCUCAGCCUUAGAACUACUGCUUUAAGAACCAAUUCAACUGUUACAUACGGAAAUGCCCAAAACAAAUACCUGAAUGGAUGUAAUCAAGCCAGAAAGAAAUUGGAAUACUAGAAGUCAAUUAUUAACAAGUUACACCCACAUCAGCAAUCAAAUAACAUAACAAGUAUGGCAUUACGAUCAAUUUUAAGAUAAUUUGCAUUAUUAGAAAGAAAUGCGUGGAAAUCUCUGAGCAUGACUUGUAUCAAAAACAUGUUCAUGUCCAUAAGAUCAAUCAUUGCUUAAGCCAGGUUUGUAUACAUAAAGAUAAGCUUCUUUCAAAUAUUCAAUACAUCAGAUACAUGCAUAGUGCAUGAUUAUAGAUAAAGCCAAAAUCAACUAAACCUUUAUUUAUGUAAAACUCCAAACAGUGUUAAAUAAUAUGACAAACAGUAAGUUGAAAAUGACAAAAGAAACAAAACAAGGGAAAUGAAAACUGUUCCGAACAUGAAAAACCAUUAACUUUACAAACGAGAUGAGAAACAGACACAUUACAAUGACUAUAUUAUAAACCAAGAGUUUUAACUAAUGGAAUGUGCUAUUUUUGAAAAGGUUUUACAUACCAGACCAUACCCAUUAGUAUGAGGCAUACUGUACCAUACUGGAAAGCAAUAGCCAACCAUGCCGAGUGUUGGUAGCAAGAGAUGUACUGUUUUAACACUGUGUACUAGUUGGGCACCGAUGCAGCUUUGUGAAUGGAUCUACAGGAAAGAGUCUUUUUGAAAUUCUGUACAGCCGGGGAACCAGGUUGUUGAUCUUAUGGACAUAUGAAACUAGCAGCUAUUAGCGAUGAUGCUCUUGCUUCUACCAAAAAUUUAAAGGAACCCAAGAGGAGGUCUGUCGAAAGUUGUUGGAGAUGAAUCAGAAGUACAAAGAAAUUUAUGGUCAACAUAGGAUGUUCAAGGAACACCAAGUUGGGGACUAUGUCAUCAUGUUUCUUCGAAAAGAAAGGCUUCCCGUUGCUACCGUCACAAAUUGAAGAGCAAAAACAUAGGCCCAUGCAGAAUUUUGCACAAGUUUGGAGAAAAUGCCUAUGAGGUGGAGCUUCCCCAUGGUUUAAACAUAUCUCCCAUCUUUAUUAUUUCAGAUCUUUGUGCCUGAAAUGGUGAUUUAGGGACUGAACUGAGAAGCACAGACCAUGAAACAUUGAAUCAGAUAUGCAGCAAGGAAAAUGAGGUUGAAAGUGUGUUUUAGUGCGAGAACUCAAGACUAGAGCUGGUAAAUACUACUGCUUCCUUGUCAGGAGGGCAGGUAAACCUGAGCAUGAGGACUCAUGGAUAGAUGAAGAAUUCAUCAAUAUUGUUGCUUACAAGGGUCAAGCUGCAAAGCUUGCGACCAGCAUGGAGGUGAGUUCUCUCUACCCUAGAGAGAAUGACGCAAAAUAAUAAUAACCAUAGACAUAUAAGUUUCCAAUACUAUUGAAAGGGUCAAAUUAGAGUUUUAAAGUGUUCUAAUGGUCUGCCCAGUCUAGCGGUAGUGGUAAUUUUGAUUUCCCCAUUCUGGUCAGGUCUUGUUAGGAGAAAUUUCGGGUCAUUUUGGUCUCUCUGUCUUAAUUGUAAUAGUAGUUAAUAGUUAUAUUGUCGGGAACAAGGUGUUAGGUGGUGUUAGGUGAGAAGUUUGGCUUUUGAGGCAAGAAGCUUCUCCAAAAAGCUCAUAAUAUUAAAGGGGGGCUUGAUGGUUCUUUGAGGGGACUUUUUGUGUGCUAUUUUCUCUAGAGCUGCUGCUCUCCCAGCUAGGGUUCAACAAUUGGAAAUGAGGGUUUUAAGGAGUCAUCCCCAUGGCACCUUCUCAUUUUUCUUUCACUGUGUCACAUAUGAGAAGCUAGCAGCAACAUGCCGCUUUUUUCUGAUUAUUUUUCUAAGAUGUGAAGCUCCAUAUCAGGUACUCCCUUGGAUCUAGGGAAAUACCUGAUCUUUAUCCUUUAAAGUUGAUAUUAGCUGCUGGUACUGCUUGGAAUGUGGUUUUCUUUGCUAUUUUGGACUGAAACUACUCCUAUAUUGUCCUGUUACUAACGAAAGAGCCUUGUAUAUCUAUCAUUUAGUGGAGUGGAGCAAUUUCUCUAUUAGAAGUAUAAUUGAUAUGUUUCUAAUAUCAGUUUUGCUUCACUAUGCCAUGCCACCCUCCUAUCUCUUUCCACCCUCGUCUUGAUCCUCCACGGCCUAACAGUCAGUGCAACUUUGGCCUUUCCAAUUCCUAUCCUAAUCUAAUAUGAAAAAAAACAAGGAGAUAAUGGGGGAUGGAGCAAGAUGAAAGGAUAAUGUGCAUUUUACCAUGAUUUGUUCAACAUUUUGGAUCUCUUGAUUCCAUUAUUAAGAGACUGAUAGAAUUCAUGCCCCACUCCUCUUUAAAGCAAUCUAGCUUCUCUUUCUCCUCUCAUUGCUUUCUCUUAGUAUAUGUAUGAACAUAUGCAUGUGCAUAUGCAUAUGCGGUGUGCAGGUAUAAGUACCUUAUCGAGAAAUCACGAGUUAAAAUUAAUGAUAAGCCAUCUAAAUUUAAAGUUUGCAUUACAUUGCUCAAAAAACAAAAGAAAAACAUAAUUCUUCCAUCUUUUCAUAGAUCUAGUGGUCAUAAAUGGCAACUUUUGUGGCAAGAUACAAUAUUUUGAUUUGAUUUAUGACUUAAGCAGCCACACUCAUUGAAUUUAGGUUCUUGUGAAUUUUAAGAUGUAUAAAUAAAGUUGAUCAUGAUCAAUAGCGUGGAUCCUCAAUUCACAAAUGCAAUGAACUCAUUGCUAAAAGAGUCCAACUCUUAACCAAUUUCUAAAAGCAACAACAAAAAUGAUGUUGUAAGUAUUCAAACAUUUGAUGCAUAUCUUAAUUUGGAUAUGUGCUCUAAGAGUUGACGCGAGGGUACAACUAACACAAAAUAGAAGGUCUAGCAAAUGCAACAGCCAAUACCACACAAAGCUUAAAUCAUGAACAGCUGUAAACUUUAUUCGGUCAUAUGGGUAGACAACAAAUGCAACUCUAUAACAUCUAUAAGUAGACAGACAAUACAUCAUCAACAUGGAGGAAAAGCAGAUUUAGGCAUGACAGAAAACAAUGAAGUAGCACAUAAUAAAGAGUGCAUAUAAUAUAUAAACCAGGACGAAAGCUUACGAUUGAUUUUUGUACGUUUAUAACCAGAUCUUCGAGGUCGAUUCUUGCUGACAGCAGGAAACUGUAAAAUGGCUGCAGAUGCAUGUACCCAGGAAAGCCAUAUAAAUAAAUGUGAGCAGUAUGGUAAAUAUUUUGCCGUAAGAACAUAACAGAUGCUCUUGUUUACCAACAAUUAAUCCCUACAAAUUAUGUUGUGCCGUUUGGUAGCAGUUCAUGGCAAUUCUGUGCUGUGGUGUACCGUUUGCUGUGCUGUGUGGUGCUGUGCUGUGCUGUGCUGUGCUGUGCUGUUUUGUGUUGUGUCAUGCCAAUUCACAUAGUACUGUGCCACUGUUGCUAUGUGCAAGGCAUUGGCACACUAUGUAUCGUGUCAUGCAAUUCUAACCAGCAUUUAAGUCCAUAAGAAUACCUUGAAAACAUAUCAGGAUAUAACCCAGCAAUUAUUUCCAUUAUGGUCCAACGACUAAAAUGUCUUCUCGAGCAUCGUAUAUUUCAAAGAUAAGUUCUUAAUGGUGUUGCAUAGACCGUGUGUAGAAAUGUGAUGAGAGAAGAAAAAGGAAGAAAGUAUAAUAUACUGCUAGCAACAUCCCUGUGUGCCUUGGAGAAAUGUUCCCCAAGAUCUUAUGCAUCUCAUUCAACAACAAUAUAGAGAAGUAUGUACCGGGUAGCAUGUAAAUUCAUAAAUCAGAACGGUGGAAGAAUUUAACAGAAAUGAUCGCUUACUAUAUGCCCCAUCUUGACCACGAAACCACUGUCUUGAGAAAACAAAAUCCUUCUUUGAGUGCCACCUGAAAACACAAUGAGAAAGACCGGAUGAUGCUAUAAUUACAAAAAGCACAACCUUUUGUGCCAAAGUGUAGAUUUGAUGAUGAUAUUAUAUUACAUUGGUCUAGCCAUUAUACAAAUCCAAACCAGCAUUAAGAAAUACAAGUCAAUGAACCUGAAACAUGAUGUUCUGGUUCAGAUAAAGGAGUGCAGAUAAAAUAAUUCUAAUCUCCUUGAAUCAUCAAGCCAGAAGGCUUACACAACAAAUAAUCACAUAAGGAUGAAGAACUGUCUAAGUAAAAGAAGAAGUUGUUAAUCAACUAAAGGGCUACCUUAAUCCUGAUAAACCUGGCAUGUGGAUUUACAUUCAUGAUUAGGUUCAGAUGCUUGAACAAAGAAUUUAUUUUCAGAGGCUAGUUGAGAACAUAAAACACAUACACAUAGUACAAUGUUUUCACUUUUCUUUGGAGAAACGUGGGCAUACAUGACCAGAACUUUUAUUCAGAUUAGAAGAUUGUCGGGCCAUAAAAAAAGUGCACUUAAGAUGGAAAAAAAGACACCAAAACUAAUCAAGGGAAAAUGAAGUCCACAUUAACGACAAAAAAUAUGGGAGCAACCACUUGGUGAAAGUCCAAGUGACCAAAAGAAAAGAAGAUACUUUCUGGACUCCCAAAGAAAUAAGAAAUCAAAAGAGGCUCUAUGUAGCAAAAAAAAAGAGGCUAUCUACUUAAAGGUACCCAAUCAAAUAGGAAACCAGACCAGAAAUAUCCAAUCUGGACUUUGAUCAGAUCCAACCCAAAUUCCAUGCCCAGAUUUCAGCUGCAAAGAUCAUAACCUUCUCCAGAAGCUCUUUCAUUCUGAGGCAAUUUUGAAAACCUUUGACAUCCUCUUGAUCCAAAAUACUCAAUGUAUACCCUUGGGGAAAAAAUCCUGUGGUUUUCUUCGUUUCAAAUAAAAGCAGGCUAAAUUUCUAUAAAGGAAUUCUAAGAAAGAACAACCUGCUUUAUAAUAAACCUUUUCCAUAUAAUUUUUCUCCUAGAGGAGGAGAACAAAUAUUUGUGCACAAUAAUAUAGCAUUCCAACAAAUCUUGAGGCAGAGCUCCAAGCUGUUUUAGAUGGCACUGGAUCAGUUAUCAAUAAGAGGAUUUUUAAUACCCUCUUGGAGACUGGCGCAUUGAACUUGUUUAGAUUUUUACUUGAUAAUGUCAACCCUCCUAAAAAUAUAGGGUACGAUUUGGUUGAGCGGAAGAAGAUGACGGCUCCUUUGAAAAGUCUCAUAAGGGAAGAAUUUAUAGUAGCAGAUUUUCUUGCUAAUUUUUUUUAUUUUUUUCUAAAUUUUCAUUGCCUCUCCUUAGAAGGCACCAUCAGGCAAGAUAAAUGUGGUCAUGCCAAUCUCAGAUAUGAGAAAUGCUAAAUCCCUGUAUCUUGCAGUUGGUGGUUCUUUUGAGCGUCCAUCAUUUCUUUUUCAAUAAAUAGACAGAGAUGUGCCAAAUAAAAUGAUUAAAGGAUGUAGAAUUUACAUGCUACAUGUUUUGCCUUUUUCAAUUAUUACAGCCAUAAGAAGCAAGCAUGCUUUCCAAAGGCAGGCAUUGAUUUUGGGACGUCUCUUGCAUCUAAUUACUUUACCUGAUCACUGUAUACUUCAUCAUUAGACAAAAAAACUCAUCAGUAGACUUAAUAUUAAAAGUUCAAUUGAUUUGGACAAUGCAUACAGAGGACCAGAAAGACAACAAGUUUAGCUUUGUUGAAGUUUUAGGAUCCAACAAGGGGUGUUCAAAGCCAAAUUUAUAAUUCGCUCACCAAAACAUCUUGAUAAAGGGACAUGUUCUCAACUGACAAACAUAUAUAUUUCGACAGAGCCCACCUUUAAUUUUGGAUCAGACCACAACUUGCUGAACCUUGCUGACUUCCAUUAUUUAAACCAUUUUGAAAGGACCAUUUCUUAUUGGAGAUCUGCCAUCGAAUCACUGCAAAGUUAUAUAACUAAGACCCAUUCUUCAUUCUCUUGAUAAAGUUCUUUGACAUUUGGGGAGUGUAUAUAAUCACUUAUUUGGUGAGGCAUAGUUUAAGUCUUUGAUAAAACUUUGCCCAAGCAUUCUGAUUUAGCAAAAAAGUCUGAGUGUUCUGAAAGUCAAAACAUUCAUCCAGUCUUCCCAAGUCCUUGCAAUGGGCCACCAUCAAGGUGAAAAAGAAAAGUGGGUGGGUGCCAAGAGACAAAACCUACAUUAGAUGCCUAACUUCAUUUGAGCCUUAGCAAUUGAUAGUCUGAAAUCAAUUGCCUUGAUUUUAUGAACUGAAGAUAUGUUAUAGAAAACUACGCCUUGGCUCCUACUUCCUUGGCUCUCAAAACAACAGGCAUUGGAUUGACAUUAGCUCCCACCACUGAUCACUUGGAAGAAUUUUUCUAAAACUUAUAUCUUGAAACAAGAUAAGAACUUCUUGAGGUUUGAAAUUUUCAAUACAACCAUGAGCACAAAAGGCAAUGGUGUCAUCCAUGUAUUUCAAAUUAAAGAUCUUGAAAUCAAAAUCCAGAUAAGUCCAAAACAAGAUAAAUUUGCUUGUACCAUGAAUCAUUUCACAUAACUUCAACACAACUAAGCCUUAAUGCCAAACUUGUUAGGGUUGCCUACAUGAAUCCUUUUCCUACGUUCUGUUUAGAAGCAGUUCACAUAACUUUAUUAGUAAAAUAGUGUUGCCUAUUCUCUGUCAUCAAACUUAUCUCAAAUUACAGUACCUCUACCACAUUCAUUUCUUGCACCAUGUUGAACUAUGAAGAAUAGAAAUAUAUAUUGUUUGCCUCAAAAAACUUAUUACCACUCCAAUUCCCAUUCAUGCUCCUUGCUUUUAUGCUAAAAAUGAGGGCAAGGCAACAUCACUGCUUCAUCUGGCAUCAAAGUAUCUACAUCAUUUCUCAUUUAUCAUAAUUGGGAAGUAAACACCAAAAAUGCUUACUAAGAUCAAUUUACACUAAAAAUGGGAAGAACCAUAUUUCAAGAAGACUCUAGGAACUUUUACCAUGACCCUUCAUAGUUUGCACUUUGCAAAUUGACCCUAGGACAAUAUUCUGAGUGUAAAGUCAUUAAUGAACAAUAAGGAAGUCAUCAAGGAUGCUUCAUCUCUUAAGUGAACAUCUUGCUUGACUUUUAUAAGCUUUUCCUCCAAUCCUCUUAGCAUUGUAGCAAAAACUCAUGAAAAUGUUAUGGAUAGCCCCACUAAUCAUACUUAUAUACUGAAAUUUACCAUGAUUGCACCGUUGGAGUUAAAUAAAAGCAAGGAAGUAUUUGAACUUUCGGACACAUUUGUAUCAACAUCUAUUUAAAAGUGACUAGUUUCAGUAUUCUGGAUGAUCAAAAUUCAAAAACAUCAGAGACUAGCCUUUUUCCAACUUUCUGGGUCAGGUAUCAGAUAACCCUUAAUUCUCAAGUGGAAUUCAUGACAUAGUACUCAUUUUCUUUAUUUUAGCUAUCCCUUGUUUGUUGAACAGGAGCUUCAUCAUUAAAUUUACAACCUAAUACUCUACAAGGAACAAAGAAAUGCAGAGAAUCUUGGACAUGAUGUUGCGGUUGAGUUUCCUCCUUGUUGUUGUAGGAAAGACACAAUUCUCACGCAUCCUUAUAACAUGGUUUGGGACACCUUAAUUCUUCAUCACAUUUUCCAAGGACACCUUAAGUCUUCAUAAGACAGUCCCAGGACAACUUAAGUCUUCAAGAAAUGGUCAGUUUGACAUCUUAGAUCUUCAUCAAAUGGUCUGGAGAUAUCUUAAGUCUUGAUCAGAUGGUUUGCCAACACAAUAAAUUUUCAUUACACAAUUUGAAGAUACCUUGAGUAUGCAUCAAACAAUUGGAAGCACAUUUUCUUUGCUAGAUGGUUUGCACACAUCUUAAUUCUUCAUUAGACAUUUGGAGGACACUAAGUUCAUUUUAUCAAAUAAUUCAUAGACACUAGACACCAUAUAUCAUCAGAUGGCUUGUGAACACCUUAAGUAGAUACAUAAUUGAGGGGCACCAUAGGUCUGCAUCACAUGAUUUAGCAAAGCCAAACAUCUUCAUUAUUAAUGUUCAGUUCUUUUGCAUCACCAAAGAUGUCCGAGGACCAAUAGAUCUACAUGGUAGGUCAGCACCCUCCAUUAAAGGGCAAGUUUCAGUGCUGAUGGCCUAUGUUGAAGCUUGCUUCUCAUGGUGGUAAAGGAAACAAGUUUUGAGACAUCAAACUUCAUCUAUUAUAGUCCCUGAGGAUCCACUCAAAUCGUAAAAUCACUAGGGACAGGCCCUCUCCCUGAGGUUGGCCAAAUCUAUGUUAUAACUGGAGCCUUUUAAUAUCAAGAGAGCUCCAUUUGAAAAUGUUUUAAGAUUGGGAGAAGCAAUAUUAAAAACCCGUCAGAUUUAGUAACGAGAUUAUACUCUCCAAUUGUCCUUACUAGAGUCUAAUUUAUUUACACACUCCAACAAUCCUCUAUUGAAGGGCAUCUAUGCUAUUCAGUAGUCCUUAUUUGGAGCUUAAUCAAAUUUAUGCUUUGAAUAGCCCUCUAAUGGGAUCAUCCACAUUUUUGCUUCCAGCAGCUCUUAAUUGGAAAUACAAGUUCAUCAUAUGCCACAACAACAUUGUUUUGACUUCCAGUACUCUCAUCUAGAUAGGAAAGUGUGCAGACUCAGAGUAUCUUUUCCCUUCAAUACCCUUCAUGUAACUAAGGGGUUUUGGUGCUAAUGAUCUGUCAGCACUCAGCUCCUAAAAGGACAAGAGAAGUUUGGAAGCAUCUGAUAUAUUCUCCAUCAUUAUCCAUAAAAAUUAACAUUCAAGACUAUCAUAAGAAGUUAGAAACGAACAAAAUUGGGUCUACUGCAUCGCUAGAAUCCUUAGUUUGCUAAGAGGAACAAAUUAUGGUUUAUUUAUUUGUGUACAUUAUGCACAUAAUAUUAAUGACUGGGUAUGGUGCAUUUAUUUCUCUACUUAUAAUAUUUGCCCAUACUUACACAAUAGCUAAGAUUGGGUACAGGGAUCUCAAGUUCUCAACCACUUAAUCAAAGGUCACCUGAUUCAAGGAUGGAACUAAAUGUGGCUCUAGUUAAAUCAUGCAACACAUUUCUCCAGCAAUCAACAUAUCUUAGAUCAAUGUUACUUAGGGGGAAAUUCAUUACAUAUGUUGAAUCCUAUUUACAAACCUAGAAGUCAUUUGGUUCUUAGACCUCGUACAUGUCAUAUGUCCAGAUUAAUGAUGUAAAAUUUUUCAAGGACAGGUGAUAUGAAAUUUCCAUCCUAGAUGUUCGAAAUGUAUUUCACAUAAGCACUGUUAUAAUUUUAGCUUCAAUCUAUCUCUAUCUAUAUCAUAUAAAAAAUUGGUUAUGAAUGGCUAAGUGCAUGAAAGGCAUAAAAUUAACAUACCAUGUUAAAAUUUUUGGAUCAUAUGUUCCAUAAACAACAUCAUAGUGCCCAUCCACUGAAUCCACCAAUUCUAGGUCACAUGUUAACAUAUCCCACCUGUAUAAAGUCAUUCUCAGAAGGAGUUUAGUAUAAAAAGCAUAACAUACAAAUUUAAUCAACUUACUCAUAUCUCUUAUGUCUAUCAACACUGAGAACCACCUCAAAGACAGUAUCCACAUUUGCAUCAACAACACCGACAGACUUAAGAAGGCAACCUUUGGCACCCUGCAAAAAGUAAGCACAUACUGCAUUAUACAUAUCAUCUCCAAUUAUGUAAAAAAUAAUGUGAAACUAAAAUACUUCAACCAUAGUCGAAUUGAAAUUGAAAGAGAAAAUUAAAUCAAACAAAAAGAAUAUUUCAGAUUACACUAAUCAACAAUUGUGAAGGCAAAUAUAUUAUAGCAAACAAAUAAUGACUAUUGAGUAAACAAAGAAUACUUGUGUAAAAAAAAAAAAAAUCACUAUAUGCGAAUUUCAAAAAAAAAUUAGAAGUUUUAUUUGUAAUCCAAUCAACAAAACAAGCCAUAAAAUACAUCUUGGAUACAAUGUCUUCUGCAUGAAUAUUGCAUAGCAUGCUUACCUGCACUUGUCCAGACUUGAUUUAUAUAGUCUUUCUGCAUAUAUAUUAUAUAUAAUAAUCAUGAAUGUUGCAUAGAAUUCCUUCUUAUGGCAUCAUAAUUUUCAUAUUCAAUAUCAGAUUUUAUUUCUGAAAUAUUAUUUCGUUCACAUAAGAAAUCAAUCUCAUCAAAUUAGGUCAAUGACUAGAAGUGACACCAAAACUUCCAAUGAUGAUUCUGUCCCUUCAAUCAAUAGUGCUCAACAUGCUCCUAUUGAUAUCCCACCAUUACUUUGCAAAACUCAGCAACUUGAAUUUAAGUUAUAUGAAGCAAUUGCCAAUUCCUAUAUUCUAACAACCAAACCACUAUUCUUGCUUUUUACAAAAUGGCCAUGCAAAACAUCACCAUUCUUGACUAGAAGGUAAUUUUAGUAAUCAAUCAGUUUCAUUGAUUGUAGCAUUUAAAAUGUGAAGUAACCUUCUACCUUUAUGCUAAGAAAAUCACCAGUGAUGCCUCAAAAGUUAUCCUUUUCUUAUGAAUAUAUACUUUUGUUUUGAAACUACUAAUUAGCUUUAGAGUUUAGAGUUUAGAGUUUUAUAAAUUGGCUAUUCCAUUAUGUCAUGACAACAUAUGGGAUAGGCAAUACAAAUACCAGAUUUCAUUCAUGUACAGUGCAACAAUUUAAAAGUCUUGAAAAAAAAAAUCUUACUAAAAUGUAACUGAAUAUCACCAUCCAUAACCCAUGAACGCAAGAAAAAGAGGUACCUUCAAAUCAGCCACUUCCUCGAAAAUUCUUACACCUAGAAACCAGAAAAACAGAAAAGAUAUUAAAGAUAUAACUAAAGUAUCAGCAUGAUAAAACAAUUCAGGUAAUAUUUCAAUUUAAGAUUCAAUUCGAAAAGGACAUGCUUCCCUAUUCAUGUUGGCAUAUUAAAAAUAUAACAUCAAGAUACAAGUAUGGCAUAACAUGUCAAAUUUUCAUGAAUAGAAGAAGACAUAAUUUCCCCAGGCAUUCAAGACAACAGGUCAUUUAGAAAGAACGGCAAUAACCAUAGGCAAUAAGCCUUAAAACUAACCAUUUGGGUUGUGUGUUAUGAACGUCAUUUUUCAUCCAAAAAAUCCUAUACCAACAGAUGACUUGAUUUUAUUUGCAGCUAAAUGCCACGUCGAUUUGACAUGACCAUGUAAAUCAUUUGUUUGUCAAAUAACAGAACUGCUUAAAUAGUUGUAAUGUUGUAUCUUAAUUUCAUAGACUGAAAACCUUGAUGUGAAAUAGAAGAUUACUCAACAUCCAUCAACUACAUGUGAAGUGUGAGCUAAAUUUAUAUUCUCGAAGUCAUGGGAACCUGAUUUUGAGAAGGAAUUGGUGUUAUUGAUUAGCAAACUAAGGAGGACAUCACUUGAACACAAUAUUUAAUUUCUGCUAUGAGAUGCUAUGGUUGAUAGGGAUGAUUUUAAGAUUUCUAUAGUACCUCAACUCCUUUUUUCUUCAUUUAAGUGAAAUCCCCUUUUAUGGCCUUUUCUCAAGGACACUGACCAAGAACAAAGAAAAUUACACACUUUCUUAGUUUCUCUGAUUAUUCUUUGAUAUGUUCUUGUGUACAACACCUCCAUUUAAAACUUAGCCAGAUAAUGAGUUUCUUUGGCUUGGAACUCUUGCACAUUUUAAAAUUGUUAUCUAAGAGAGGCUACUAGAAAUCAUCAUGAAGAUCACAAAGACAUCAAGUCAGAGAUGGGUUAAUUUGAAAAGGAAAUUUACCAUAUCAAAUACAAAGGCAUGUUUAGAUUCCUUGUUUCGAUAGCAUUUGCAAAAGGCACCAGCAAAGGAAACCAAGAGAGUUGUGAUCAUGUCCGAUCAGGAUCAGCAUCAGGAGUUUGAUAUAAAGGCCAUGAAAAAAGCAUGACUCAUCAUUGCUAAAGCCUAAAGUACCACUUUGAAAGGAUUAAAAAAAAGAGAGAAAAGCCUCCAAAGUAGAACCCAAGUAGCAAUUAAUCCUCUGCGUCGCCGAUGACAAUAAUGAGUAAUGAAAAUAACUAGUUCCAUGUAAUGGAUUUGAGAUCAUGGUGUUUCCAAACUAAGGUGCCCCAAUGAGGAUUUUUCCCAUCAUAUUAGUCUAUUUUGGUGAAAUUGCCCUUUCAAAGGGAAACCAUAUUCUAUUUUGGAUCCUUAAGGCAUGGACAAAACAAGGUACAACUCUCCUUAAGGAUAUUGUAUCCAUAACAUACUAAUACUAAUGAAUUACAGAUACACAAGUUAUAGUCCACUAUAAUAUUUUAUCAAUUGAAUUUAUUAUUAAUUAAUUACUUGCUAGAUAUAGUAAAUUACAUGGCUAAAAGAGUAUCACAUAGUAAGAAAUAGCUAGGACACUGCUAAUAAGGCUAAACCCAUCUAACUGAGUUAAGCAACAUUUAAAAAGACUUUUUUAUGUUAGAAUAUCUUGUUAGAAAGUUGAUGAUAUUUACUCAUGCUAUCCAUUAUAAAAGCUUCAUAAAACCAACAGAAUUCAAAAUUGCCCAUAUUUCUUUACAAUGACCGCAUGGCCAGUUAUGUAUAAGUUAAGAUUGUGGUUGCAAGAAGUAUGGACACCCAAGAACUCAAGGAUUCAACAUUACACACCUUGACAUUAUAUCUCAUUACAUGAUGAUAACAACAUCCUCAAUCACUGCAACCAUAAAGGCCUAUAAUCUAACAUUAUUUUCAUUAGUGCAUUUACUGUUUUGGUUCUGAUAACAAAGUCAAACAGUUAUUGUAAAAACAUUACAGGAGCCCAAAAUUUGUUCUCCCACAACAUGUUCAGCACCUAUUUCGCUAAAUAUUGCAGUAUAAUAGAUUCUAACCAUCAUCUGGUCUCCUAUGCAUGCUGCAGGCUGUUCAAUUAUUUGUUACAAGACCUCAUAAACUAUCUACUUGAGAACCUGUGUAGAUAGUACAUACGGCGCUAACUAUAAUAUGUAAUGCUCACCUUCCAUUCAUGAUUACAUCUAAGAUAAAUCUACAUGGGCAUGGGAUAUUUAGUUGUGACUAUGGUUUCAACUGUUCCUGGUUCAGAUGAUUAAUUUGUCAAAAAUCAAUCCAAAAUGUUAAUAUAAGAUAAUAAGACAUAAUAUCUUUAAAAGCCAUACAACAAUCUUUUGGUUUGUAUGUGCUACAAAUGUGAUAUAUUUGAAGAUGGCAAUUAGUUGAUGACUCAGCGAACCUGUUAUUUUGAAGUCUUACAUAACCAUGUUAUGCUUUUAAAUGCACUUGUCCAGAUAUCACUGGAUGCUUGUACCAUACAGAUCAGAAUUUAAGAAAUGACACCAGAACACAAAUAAGUGAUGUUACCAUUAACAAUACGAACGCAUCUCCAAUCAUGAGCUUGAAAAGCAUCACCCCUAUCACCUUCAAAAUACGUGCUUGUGCUCACAUUAGUUCCGAGAUCUGAAGACUGCCGAAGAAGCAUCUCUGGACCUGUAAUUGCAAAUAAUAAUAGUUCUUCACCAAUCAAUCGUAAACUUGGAUAAACUAUCCAAGAGUUAUGUGGAUUACAGUUUAAAAUGUGCAUCACAUAAUUUUAGAGUAAUUUGUCAUAUAAUUAUCAUUACACAACAAUUUUAUACCCGAAUAAAGCAAAAUAAUUUAAAGUUCAUGAUAAAACUAUAGGCAGGCAUGUAAUUAUAUUGUAAGAGUUGUACUCAUAAUAGAACUGAAAGUCUGGAAAGUUCAUAUGCUUGCAGUACUUUAGGACUAGGUUUCUAACCCCUGUUAUGCAGACUGACAAUCAUCUAUUGUUAAGAUGUCUAAUCUGUAUAUCAGGCCUUCAUAUCCUUGCUGAACAAAGAUAAAUAUUCCAUGGAUAAGAGUUUCAGAAUAUCUCAAGUAGAACUAAAAGUUUGUUCAGGAUGUUCUAGCACAUGCUUAAAACUAGAAAAUAGGGUAAAAGCUCUCUUCACAAUGUAUUGGCUUGCACUAAUGCGUAUCAAAGUGAUACACAUUGGCACAAGCCAAGUCAAAUCAACACGUGCCAACACCGAUGGUGUAGAGGUAAGCACCCAUAUAUUGUACGGAUAAGCUGCCAGCAUGGUCUGUAUUGUCAAUACAAUACACUAAGGAUGGCAUCUAAAUAAGCUUGAGGGUUAAGAAGGAGCAUAUCUUUACAACCAACCAUCAAAUCCAUAAUUACAAAUGUGAAUGAUACAUAAUUUUUGUACUUAAAUGUUCUGGUUAUUCCAAUACCUAACAUUGAUAUUGGUUGAUCAUAAAAUGCUAAAGGUAUUGCUAAGCAUAAUGAUGAUCUGUGACGUGAAUCCUCUCAUUCAUUAAAUAGUUGUACAAGGGCAAACAUCAAUAACAUGAAUUUUUGUGGUCAACAUGCUAGAAUAGGUAUCCUCUAAAACCAUUAUCACCAUCUUGACUAUGGAACUCUGAUUCAUAGGUUAACACAUAACAUAAAAACACAAAGUUACGAGUAAUGUUAUUACAUAAUUCCUUGGGCUAGAAAGAAGUCAACAUAUUAUCCUAUCUAACAAAAUUAGCUUCAUGCUAAAUCAUGAGGAAGUUUGGAGCAUUCUCAUGCCUGAAAUCAUGGAUUCACAAAGAUCGAAAUAAGAUAGUACUAGUAGUAUGGUACCACUCCAUGCAAAAUUGGCAUCAGUACGUGCACCAUACCAAUUCGUAUUAGUGCAUGCCACGACAUUAUAUACUGACUAUACCAAUCAAUACUGACGAACAUCCACAAAACCGGUAUCGAGAACCAUACCAAUACAUUACUGAUUUAGAAUGUUAUAGUUAGUGUGGUACGGUACAUAUCUCAUAUCAAACAAGCUUCCAACACUUCUUUCCACUCCCAGCCACUAUACCACCCAAAGUUGGGCAAUACAGGUCAACACCAGGUAGUAUGGGGUGGUUCUAUUGGUUUGGACUGAUUCAACUUACACUAAAUUGAACCAAGGUAUCAGUAUAUAAUGGUACAAUUAGUACAGAAUGAUAUAGCAGAAUCUGGUACUAAUAGUUUUUCAUUCUUUUUGAUGCUGUCAGUUUCAAUACAUACUGUACCAUUAUAAUAGAAAAAUAAUACAGAAUUUCAUACUAGUAUUUAAAAUAUUACUUGAAAUCAUGGUCUGCGGUACCGCCAUGUACAGGGCGUACCGUACCAUACCGAAAAAAAUCAAUAUAAAAUGUAAUUUUAAGUCGGUACAAGCCCCGUACCGAGGUAUACCAUCCCGUACUGAGGUGCAUAUCGACCCGUACCGAGACGUACUGACUUGUAUCGAGGUGUAUCAAGAUAAAAAUUAAAAAAAAAUAGCUAGAGAGCUAUUUCAAUAUAGGAGUGUACAUACUGUACCAAACCAAACCAAUAAGGUAUUGAUAUGGUACUCGAUACCGAUUGCGAAUGCGAACCUUGCUUGAAAUAGUAUUCACAAUUACGGUGAGGUUGCAUCACAUGCUCAACGAUUGCCAAUGUGUUAGGGUGUACACAAACUACAACACCUAUUUCUUUUCUAUCAAGACAUGGUUUGCUCACACUAACAUGUGGGUAUAACUCCCAUGAUUGAUGGUUAUAGAAACUUUUCAAAGGACCCACUUUCAGAUGCUUGGUUCUCUUCACAUAAAUCUGUGUUGGUCCCAUAGGAUGAAGACACAAAAACUCAAUGUACGACAAGUUAUAACCGCCUUGGGGCCAAACUAGAGUAUUGAAAGAAAGCACAUUUUAUGGAGCUGACUGGGUGGUGGAAAUUAUCUACAAGUGCGAACAAGUUGCCAAAAAUCUAUUGCUUGAAUUGAUCAAUAUUGGGAUGGAGAUGUGAUUAGAUAGAAUUUCUAGUACCAUGCAGUUUAUUGGUUUUACACAAUUUCACAAAGAUAGAUUAGUAGGUAUGUUCUCUAUAUGGAAGGUAUUCUAUGCAAGCAUGAUCUGCCAUACAGCCUGGUACAGAGCAUACCGUACCGUACCGUACCGAGAGAAAACUGGUACGAACUUCAACUUCAAGUCGGUAUAAGCUCCGUACCGAGGAGUACUGCCCCAUACCGAGGAGUACUGCCCCGUACCGAGGCGUACCGAUCUGUAUCGAAGCGUAUUGCUCUAUACCGAUGUGCGUAUCGGCCCGUACCGAAGCAUACCGACCUGUAUCAAGGUGUAUCAAGAUAAAAUUUAAGAAAAUGAUUAGAGAACUAUUUCGGUACAAAGUGUAUACCGUACCGUACUGUACCGAACUGAUAAGGUAUCGAUACGGUAUCCGGUACCGAGAUUGCGAACCUUUAUACAAGUUUUUCUUUAAUAAUUGUGCAUCCAGAUAUAUGAUCAUUUUGCAACUCCUAGAUAGUAUUAGUCAUGAAAAUACGUUUUCAGUUUGCCUAAGCACCAAACAAGAACAAGAAUGAUAGAAAGUCUAAACAGUAAAAGUCUUUUGUGCAUGAUGGAGGUGUUACAGAUAUCCCCUUUUACCUAGAACCUAACUGUAGUUGGUAGAUUUAGGACACUUUUCUCUGAUAAGGUAGGGGUCACACUUUUGCAAACACUUGUGGUGUCUUGCCAUGAAAGGGAUUCCCAAACUAACCACCUUAGACUCACACCUCCUAUUGUGGUUUGGGUAAUAUAUUUGCAGCUUGCCUAAGCACCAUUCAAGGAUCAAGAAAAUGCAAAAACCAAAUUGCAAGAAUCGAUCAUGCAUGAUAGGGUUUAAAGAGAUAUUCACCAAAUUGUGACUAAUAGAUCAAUUUAGGGGUUGUAUGUUAGCCUCUAAUUGGAUAAAUUAUGCUGAUAAAUGCUGUAAUUAAAUUGCAUGUGUUUAAAACAAAUGUCCGGAUGAUUGCAGUUGCAACUGCAAACUGCAUUUGGAAAGAGUCCAAUUGCAGCUUUUUGGAAUUACAAGCAAACUUGGCCACGGUUCUAACUACAAGAUUUGUUAUAAUUGGAAGCGGCACUUGAAGGAGUCCCCUCACCACUAACCAUUGAAAGUUAAUAUUAUAUAGUUUUAACAAAUUAAAUAUGAAUUAAUUAUUUUAAUAAAUGUCAUAAAUGUAAAUCUUUUGUUAUAAUAAUAUACAUAAUUAUUAUGAUAUCAAAUAAUUUUUGUGACAUUAUAGAAAUUUAAUAGUUAUUGUUAUAACAUUAAUAAUAUAUCAACUAUUAUUAUGAUCAUAAUAUACUUAUUUAAUUAUUGUUGUAUCAUAAUGAUUCUUAUUAUAAUGAACAUAUAGUCUAAUAAUAAUCAUUAUUAUAUUGUAAUUUCUAUUAUAUGAUAAAAAUAAUAUAAAAAUAAUUUUACUAUAAUAAAAACAUAGUAGUAUAAUUAUUAUUAUUAUGUUAUAAUAAUGAUUUAAUAAUAUAACUAUUUCUAUUAUGAUCAUAACAUACACAUUUAAUUAUUAUUAUUUAUAUAUAAUACUAAGUACUAAUCAUAAUCAUAUUAUAAUAACUAUUACAUAAUUAUUAUUAAUUAUUAUAAUAAUAUAUUAUAAAAAUAUUUAUAAUUAUGAUAAUAGGAUUGUUAAAUAUCAAGUUAUUCUAUAGUGAUAGAAUUAGUAUGCUAGUUAUUGUUAUAAUAAUUCAAUAAUAAUGUAAUGAUAAUAUUAAGUUUUCUGUUAUAAUUGUAGAAAUAAUAUCAUAAUGGUUAUACCAUGAUGAAGAAAGUAUACAGUUCACUGUUUUCAAGGGGGUAACCUUAUCGGAUCAUUUGCAGGGUUACCACAUCUCAUUCAGCAUCAUACAACCAAAGACCUACAAUUGCAUUUGAGUUUUCAAUUGAAGAUAACCAAACAUAAACAGAUUUUGCAACUACAAUUCCAAUUGCAGCAUUUCUAAUUAUAGCCUCUUUUUGAAUUGCAAGCAAACAGCCCCUUCACAAAGUUUAGGUGACAAAAAGCUUUUACAAGUAAAUUAUAUGAAAGUCAACAGAAACAACAUAGUGCAUCAAGAAAACAUUAUUAAACAUAAUAACAAUCUAGAAACAAACUCUGUAUGACUUCAUAUUACAGACUCAGAUAGUUCACCUUUUCCUAUUCUUAUAAGCUUUGUCAAACCCUGUGCAUAUCGCCUCACUCUAGGUCGAUGCCCUUCUAGGUUGAGACUGUCACAACGAAACUUCAAAUGAGACAGCUUUGCAUUAUUAAGAAAUUGGCGUGUCAGAAAUGCACUGAACAAAAUAACAGGCACUUAUAAUAUCAUUUAAACAUUAAAAAAUAAAUCAUACUCAGAGUCAAUGUUUAGUCUGUUUCGUUCACUCCCUCUAAGAAGAUCAUACUCAGCCUGUUAAGAGAAAUUUCUGAACCUUAGACUAUCAUAGGAAUGCAAACAAGUAACUGCUAUAUCCAACAUAUAGACUAGGAUGCUAACGCAUGCUAAUGCUUAGGGAAAAAAAGAAAAAGAAUCACAAAUGUCAUUGGCAUUGAUUGUAUAACAUAAUAAUGGACGCACACAGAUAAAAAAGGACUAAUGGUACCUCAACUGAAAAGCACUUAGGGAUCAUUAACAUGCACAAUAGGUUAACACAAAUUCAGUUGCAUAUUGUUUAUGCCCAAAAAUAUUCCUGACUCCACCUAUGCGAAGAAGUUUGGUCAUGCCAUGCACCUAUAAACUAAUCAUAUUUUAGACUAACAGUAGCAUACCUGUUGCUUGGCCUGCUCAAAUGCCUCCAUCCAUUUAUGUGCCUCUCCUGGAGAAGCACAAGCAAUCUACCAGACAGAACAACAAAAACUUAAUCCCUCGACCAAACCAUGACAACGCACAUGCCUAGAACAUCAUGAUUGCAAUUUUUUUUUUUCAAAAGAAUGCAACGAAGAUCAAACAAAAUAGCAAAAAUUUUCCUUUUGGAUAAAGUUUCAAAAGAAAAGGAGAGAAUAUCAGACGUUGUAUAGUUCAUAGAUUACGGUAGAUACAAUGCAUUUUCCACUUUUUAUGUCUUCAAGUAGUCCUGUGAACUUACGUAGUAAUAGAUUACAACGAACAAGGAAAAAAAAACAAGUUACAUAUAUCACAUCAUAAAUGCAUGAUGAAAUUGGACACAAAUCCAUCAUUGGGUUAGAAGAACGAGAUAUUCAACGCAUGAUGUCGACAUGAUGAUAUGUCUCAGAUUAUCAAAAUGAAAACUUUUGGGAGCAUAUAUUAUUUCAAUGAAACAAGAGUACUCAAUUAAGGCAUGUCAUGAACCUCCUCUCCCAGUGAAGAAUGCAUAUGAGAUCACUUUCAUUUUCAGGAGUAUAAUAUAUAAUUAUGGAUGAUCUUACAAAGAUAAAAUAGCUUUUGUUGUUUGUGUAUAUGUGGAGUAGGUAUUUGUUGGUGUAUGUAUGUGCGGUUGUGGGUCUGUGCAGGCGCAUGCAUGCGUGCAUGUGUUUGUGUGUGUGUGUGUGUGUGAGAGAGAGAGAGACAGACAGAGAAAGAAUCUCCCCUUUUAGGACCAGUUUCCAAAAAAGAACAAAAUAUUAAUAAAUGUAUGUAUAUGCAGAUUAGUAAUUCAUUGGAAAACCUAAAACAGUAAAAUGUGUACGCUAGUCUGCUUGCUGCAUGUGCAUACAAGCCUGUGCACGUAAGUGGUGUACAUUUUCCAGCUACAAAAACUGAGCUUUAACAUUUGACUCAAGUCAAUGCUUUAUAGUCCUCUCCAUCUAUCAUUCUACAAGCGCUAAUACACAAUACUGCAAAUUGCCCAGCUAGGCUAGCUUUGUACAAUUAUCUGGGGACCACAAACCAGUGCUGUGAGAUAUCUUAGCAACCAUCCAAACAUGCCUCCAGUGAUAACAGUGCACAGGUUCUGCAGUAUUAAAUGACAUUUAGUGGUUGUGAUGCCAAAUGAAUGUCCCUCAUAUCUCUUGGAAAACAACAGUUAUGUUUUCAGGGAAAGCAAACUUGCAAAAUCAUAACCAAUCACAGAAAAGAAAGCAAGCAGUCAGUAUGCCCAAAAUCUCUUGACAGGACAUCAAAUGGGUUGGUUUUGACUUAUACAGUUAUACUUGAGUAAUUAACAAGAUAUUAGCAUCAUUAAGGUUGUUGGCUCAAACUCUUACCUAUCAAAAAUGUAUGUUCAAGUUACAAAGAGCAACAAUUUUAAACACCUAAACUUUUUUCAAGUAAUCGAAUAGAUCCUCCUAUAAAGGAUUGAAAUUAGUGAUAGUGCAGCAAUGAAUGUAAUUUUUUUAAAGAAAAAGAUUUUAAACAUUGACAGAAUAAAUGAAUCAUGAAACUAUCGCUGAUAUAACAUAAUAAACAACCUGAAAAUUUAUGCAGAAAAUAUUUUUGGAUAUUUCAAAGUACAAGAUUUUACAAAAUAUAAUG